rnacentral:rRNA from 1 species
GAUGAACGCUGGCGGCGUGCCUAAUACAUGCAAGUCGAGCGAACGGACGAGAAGCUUGCUUCUCUGAUGUUAGCGGCGGACGGGUGAGUAACACGUGGAUAACCUACCUAUCAGACUGGGAUAACUUCGGGAAACCGGAGCUAAUACCGGAUGAUAUUUUGAACCGCAUGGUUCAAAAGUGAAAGACGGUCUUGCUGUCACUUAUAGAUGGAUCCGCGCUGCAUUAGCUAGUUGGUAAGGUAAUGGCUUACCAAGGCAACGAUGCAUAGCCGACCUGAGAGGGUGAUCGGCCACACUGGAACUGAGACACGGUCCAGACUCCUACGGGAGGCAGCAGUAGGGAAUCUUCCGCAAUGGGCGAAAGCCUGACGGAGCAACGCCGCGUGAGUGAUGAAGGUCUUCGGAUCGUAAAACUCUGUUAUUAGGGAAGAACACAUGUGUAAGUAACUGUGCACAUCUUGACGGUACCUAAUCAGAAAGCCACGGCUAACUACGUG